rnacentral:lncRNA from 1 species
UAAUAAAUUCCUAGCAAUAUAAUUAGGGAUGACAACCGACUUCAUGCCUAGGAAUGUUAGUAAUUAAAGAGUGCUAGUUGCUAAUUGACAAGUUAAUUAUUUAUCGUGCAUUUCUGGUGUUGUUGCUACAAGUAGGGUUUAUAUCUAUUUUUAGUAAUGUCGGUAGUAAAUGUCAACACAACUCUCAAAGAAGACAAGGAAGAAGGUAAUUGGAAGGAGGCUGCCUAAAAGCUCUAUGAAACAACAACCCGAAUGUGGUGGAAUACAAAGGCCUAACAAAGCUGUCACCCCUGUGGCUACCACAACUAUCUAUGGGAUUGGGCGCAAACUCACGUAAACUAUAGCCUAGACACCACGUCUAUGCUAGCGUUUACUACUCUAAUUACCUUGAAUAUAACUAGAGCACUCAAUACAAAUGGAGAUAAAAUAAGUAUAAUAAAGUAAGAAUGAAAUAAAGAACUGAAAUUAGAAAUGAUAAUUGAAGAACCUAGAGAUUGCUGAAUGAUGAUCCAGAUACUGUAACUUUAUAAUGUUGAGGAAGAUCUGACACAUCUGGCUCCUCCUCAGCUCUCUCCUCUCUCUUCCUAUUUUCUAGAUACAACUAGACAAACUAGAACUAGAACUAGAUGAACUAGAACUAGAACUAGAUGUCAUCAAAGUAUUUGAAGAUGAUCAAUAGCCGAUACAAGGAGUCGGCUCUAAGAGUAUUAAUUAGUGGAUUCUUUAGUCAUUGAGGAUGAAGGCAAGAUGGGCAAAUAUUUUAUUUCGGCUGCUGAAUUAAUGUAACACCCUGAAAUUUGUUCCUUUUUAAAAUAGGUGAAAAUGAUUUAAUUUUAUAUUUUUGUGUUCAUAAAAUAUGGAGAGAUAAUAUUUUUCAUUAAAUUAAAAUUCAUCAUAGGACGUAGAAACAUGUUUGAGCAUACAUGUCAUGGUAUUUUGUUUGUUGUAAUGAGUGUAUUUAAACUCGAAAUUCAAAAUGAUUCAAAAGGAUUUUUAAAUGAAUUUCAAAUGGAUUUUUAAAUAAAAAAACAAAAGAAAAUAAAAGAAAAGAAAAGAAAAAGGGAAAAACUCUCCCUCCACAGCUUUUGGCCUGAAGGCCCUCUCCAUUCUCCCCACAGCAGGCCCAGCUCUCUCCUUUUCUUUUGGGCCAAGCCCCUUUUCCUUUCCCCCACUCGGACCCAGUUUCUCCCCAGGUCGCGGCCCAAUUCUUCUCUUCGGCAAUACGCAUCAGGCCGGCCCAAGCCGCGCCUCCCUCCCCUCUUUCCAACCGACAGGCCGACCCCACUUCUUGUGUCACUGACCAGUGGGGCCCAGUCGACAGCGUCCCCUUUCCCCUUUCCUUCUUCCUCCCCAAGUCGCUUGCGUGCCGGACUUCCAGAAGGAUAGCCCGCGCCUCCUCCUCCGUUCUUUACGGGAUUUUCCGCGUAGAAGAUUUACUUCACCUGUAUUUAAGCCCCGUAAACC